CUCGUCCUACGGGGGGCAGCAGUGAGGAAUAUUGGUCAAUGGGCGGGAGCCUGAACCAGCCAAGUCGCGUGAGGGACGACGGUCCUAUGGAUUGUAAACCUCUUUUGUCGGGGAACAAAGGCGCCCACGGGUGGGCGGAUGAGUGUACCCGAAGAAAAAGCAUCGGCUAACUCCGUGCCAGCAGCCGUGGUAAUACGGAGGAUGCGAGCGUUAUCCGGAUUUAUUGGGUUUAAAGGGUGCGUAGGCGGAUAGUCAAGUCAGCGGUAAGAAUGCGGUGCUGAACGCCGUACAGCCGUUGCAACUGG
rnacentral:rRNA from 1 species